UUUGAACUUUAAACUUGGGCCAAUAAAUUGUAGCUUUCUUCCAACUUGAGAGCUUUGGAGGCCUUCUUGUGUUCUUCCAACUUGCUAUGUUCCUUGCAAAAUAAAUAUCUUUCUCCUUGCAACAUAAACAUUAGUAUCUAUACUUCAAGGUUUUGUGAUCAUCAAAAUCAAUCUAUGAAUCAAUCUUUGGGUCAUCAGAGUGAUUGACCCAUCAUAGUGGGAGUUUCCACUAGAUUAAUUGAUUUUGAUGAUUAAAAUGAGGUUAAAAUAGAGUUUCUAUUCAAUGAUCAUCAAAUCAGAUCCCAACUAGGUGAUUUUCCCUCAUUUGGCACGGUUAUAGCAUGAUUUUUAAGUGCGUGCCAAGGUUAGAGACGACUCGAGUAAGUUUCAGAGCCGGCUCCUAAGGGGAAGUCGACUCGCGCAUUUGGGGGAGUCGACUCGCAAAGUGUCCAGCUGAGGGGGAGUCGACUCGCACAUUGUCGGGAGUCGACUCGAAGUCUACAGGCGCAUAAGGAGAGUCGACUCGCGCAUUUU
rnacentral:lncRNA from 1 species